rnacentral:lncRNA from 1 species
UCACAUUCUCAUUUGUUGGUAAGAUGAUCCUCAAUACAGUUUAUGAUGUCCAUUUAGGUGGAAUCAUAAGCUUCGGUAGUCAUGGGAUGAACUGGCAGGAGCAGCAUAUUGACUGGGGCACUACAGCGUGAUGUCCAACAUUAUGGGAAUGAGCAGGAAAGCAGAUCUCCAUCAUGGUAACAGCAGAGACAUGAAAUGGACUAAGAGAGGAGUACAGAGAAUACGCAGUGAGUACAGAAAGAUCACAAAGAAUGGGCAGAGUCCUGGCAGUUGUAUUUCCCAAAUUAAUAAAGUAGCA